rnacentral:tRNA from 1 species
GGCUAGGUAGCUCAGUCGGUAGAGCAGAGGACUGAAAAUCCUUGUGUCGCCGGUUCGAUUCCGGCUCUGGCCACCA